AGUGAACGCUGGCGGUAGGCCUAACACAUGCAAGUCGAACGGCAGCACAGUAAGAGCUUGCUCUUACGGGUGGCGAGUGGCGGACGGGUGAGGAAUACAUCGGAAUCUACUUUUUCGUGGGGGAUAACGUAGGGAAACUUACGCUAAUACCGCAUACGACCUACGGGUGAAAGCAGGGGAUCUUCGGACCUUGCGCGAUUGAAUGAACCGAUGUCGGAUUAGCUAGUUGGCGGGGUAAAGGCCCACCAAGGCGACGAUCCGUAGCUGGUCUGAGAGGAUGAUCAGCCACACUGGAACGGGAACACGGUCCAGACUCCUACGGGAGGCAGCAGUGGGGAAUAUUGGACAAUGGGCGCAAGCCUGAUCCAGCCAUACCGCGUGGGUGAAGAAGGCCUUCGGGUUGUAAAGCCCUUUUGUUGGGAAAGAAAAGCAGCAGGUUAAUACCCCGCUGUUCUGACGGUACCCAAAGAAUAAGCACCGGCUAACUUCGUG
rnacentral:rRNA from 1 species